rnacentral:tRNA from 1 species
GCUCACUUGUUGGAAUGUAGACAUAGCAGACUUAAAAUUUGUGUUCCUGUUGGAAGUGUGAGUUCGAGUCUCACAGUGAGUA